CGUUUCUUAACGUCCGAGUCAUGGUACUA
rnacentral:misc_RNA from 1 species